UUCACAGAGUGAGAAUCAGCUCCACGAUUUUAGGAGUAUCCAGUUGAUUCAUUGAGGUGAUCAGUUUCUACAAAUCAGCAAGAUCCUCUUGCAGAACUGAUCAUGCUCUGUGUGUUGUCAAACACUUAGAACAUAGGCUUGUACAUACAUACUAACCCAUCAGCAAAGAUUACUUCACAUAACAUUCAUUAGAUCUGUGAUGCUCUUAUGACCCAUUUCAG
rnacentral:lncRNA from 1 species